AAGGAAGGGGAAAACUAUACGAAUUUAAGUCGCCCAUCAGAGCGGACGAGACUCCAGCAGCAAAGUUUAAACACGCAGUAAUAUUGUUGCGCUUGCUGCGCGCGCACUUGUUCGUGUUAAAAGUCGCGCUUCGAAACGCAAAUCUCCGCUCUUUCGUUAACCGCAGAGAGCAGCCAGGCGGGCCGCGCGUAGGCGCUACCUUGCGCGCGCGUUCUCGAGGCCCUGAGCUGCCUGCGAAACGAGGCGACGAGCAUGUGUUUUUUUCCGCAAGCUCACGAAGCGCGCACGAAACAACGUGCGCCGUAACAGCAGCAGCGCGAGACGAAAGCUUACUUGGUAAAAUAAAGCUCGCUGCGGCGUUGCACGCUUUGCGCACACCAGAGCGUGUCGCGCUGCUCGCGAGUCCGUUAGCGAACUCUCUCUGCCACUUUGCAGAGAGGCUGUUCGUCAGACCAACUUUUCGGGU
rnacentral:rRNA from 1 species